UUGUUGUUGUUUUAAAUACCAACCACUGGUUUCCGUGUGAGCUUCAGUCUUCCUUCCCUGCAUGUGGAGCGUCCUGACACGACACUAAAUUUCAAUGAACUUUCGUCCCCGAGCUCUCCAACAUGUACAACUACACAACAGGAAGCGUUUGAUCAGCGCCGCCACUCCAAGCCUAACAUCGCUUAUUCUGUUCCUGCAGAUACAGCUUUCUGCGUCGAGGUUACCACAUGACAACGCUGCAUGACGUGUGAGACGAUCACCAGCAACGACAUUAGCCAUGUCAACUUUGACGACACAAUGAAAUAACAACACAUAUGAUGAAGAAGCAUACAGAAAGAUCAGUAAAGUACAAUCGACCCAUAAACAAACCAAAUCCCUUAUACAGUUACAGACUGAUGAUGAGCAACCUCCAAAAUCAAAGGUUUCCCCAGGCCCCACGUGUGAAAGUACCAGGCUCCACCACUCUGCAGUCUGCCCCCCCAACUCACUUCUAGCAACCAUCAUGAUGCUCGGGCCAGCUACCGGCUCCUUUCGCCAACCUACACAGCUAUGCGACCUCCCCAGCAAAUAGUCUGCGUUCAGUACCUUCUCUAAUGACGAUGCAGCCUUCCAAAAACGUAAUCAUGAUAAACGAGCUGAUCAGAGAAGUCGGGGACCUCCGUGAGGAGUUCAGAGCCUUCGGUUAAUCCUGCAGCACUGACCCUGUUGAUGCUGGGGUAUUGCCUCUGGAUUAGCCAUUUAACAACAUAGAUGAGAUGAAGUGCAAUGACCGGAGGUGAAUAAAGCAAUGAUGGCCUGACUCAGCCGGUGGGGUAAACGCUGUUUCUGAGUUUGCCUUCGGCCAAGCUGUGCAGAAAUGUCUCCUCUACGCUCCAGAUCACAUGGGUGGUGCAGGAUGCCCGAUAUCCAGCUCGAUCCCUGAGUAAACUUAAAAUAAAAUAAUAAGUGACCUAUAACCAA